rnacentral:rRNA from 1 species
ACUCAAAUGAAUUGACGGGGACCCGCACAAGCGGUGGAGUAUGUGGUUUAAUUCGUCGCAACGCGAAGAACCUUACCAGGCCUUGACAUACCGAUUAAGGGAAGCAGAGACGCUUCCUGUCAGUUCGGCUGGAUCGGAUACAGGUGCUGCAUGGCUGUUGUCAGCUCGUGUCGUGAGAUGUUGGGUUAAGUCCCGCAACGAGCGCAACCCCUCUCGUCAGUUGCCAUCAGGUAAUGCUGGGAACUCUGACGAUACUGCCGGUGAUAAGCCGGAGGAAGGCGGGGAUGACUUCAAGUCCUCAUGGCCCUUACGGCCUGGGCUACACACGUACUACAAUGGUGGUGACAAUGGGCAGCAAGCCAGCGAUGGCAAGCAAAUCCCUAAAAGCCACCUCAGUUCAGAUUGUGCUCUGCAACUCGAGCACAUGAAGUUGGAAUCGCUAGUAAUCGUGGAUCAGCACGCCACGGUGAAUACGUUCCCGGGUCUUGUACACACCGCCCGU